UACGGAGGGUGCAAGCGUUGUCCGGAUUUAUUGGGUUUAAAGGGCGCGUAGGCGGCUUGGCAAGUCAAAGGUGAAAUCCCUCGGCCUAACCGAGGAACUGCCUUUGAUACUGCUUCGCUUGAGGCCGGGAGAGGGUAGCGGAAUUCCCAGUGUAGCGGUGAAAUGCGUAGAUAUUGGGAGGAACACCAGUGGCGAAGGCGGCUACCUGGACCGGUUCUGACGCUGAUGCGCGAAAGCGUGGGGAGCAAACAGG
rnacentral:rRNA from 1 species